rnacentral:rRNA from 1 species
GGAGUCUGGGCCGUGUCUCAGUCCCAGUGUGGGGGGCCUUCCUCUCAGAACCCCUAUCCAUCGUAGGCUCGGUGGGCCGUUACCCCGCCGACUGCCUAAUGGAACGCAUCCCCAUCCCUAUCCGACAAAAGCCUUUGCCCUGGUAAACAUGCGGAAACCAGGGAACAUCGGGUAUUAAUCCCUCUUUCGAGGGGCUGUCCCCGAGAUAGGGCCAGGUUGGAUACGCGUUACUCACCCAUCCGCCGGUCGUCAUCUGGCAGAGCAAGCUCAGCCAAUGUUACCCCUCGACUUGCAUGUGUUAAGCCUGUAGCUAGCGUUCAUC